rnacentral:rRNA from 1 species
GGUAGCGCCUCGUGAACUCAUCUCCGGGGGUAGAGCACUGUUUCGGCUAGGGGGCCAUCCCGGCUUACCAACCCGAUGCAAACUGCGAAUACCGGAGAAUGUUAUCACGGGAGACACACGGCGGGUGCUAACGUCCGUCGUGAAGAGGGAAACAACCCAGACCGCCAGCUAAGGUCCCAAAGUCAUGGUUAAGUGGGAAACGAUGUGGGAAGGCCCAGACAGCCAGGAUGUUGGCUUAGAAGCAGCCAUCAUUUAAAGAAAGCGUAAUAGCUCACUGGUCGAGUCGGCCUGCGCGGAAGAUGUAACGGGGCUAAACCAU